CCUAGGAUGGGGAGUGAGUUACAGUGCUGUGGGUGGCUUUAUUGCGCUGUAACUCUCAAGUGUAGCUAAGGCCUCAGUCUAGGAGGUUCAGUUUUAGCCCUAGGCCAAAAUGUCUCCAUUAGUGUUAAAUGGGGUUUUCAAUUAGUUAAGUUAGCUCUAUUGAGCUAAUUUAACUCAAUUGAAAACCCCACUUAAGACUAAUGUAGACACAUUAGGACUGUUGAGCUAACUUGACUGAAAAAAGCAUUAUUUUCCUCAUCUAGUCAAAGCCUAAAAAAGCUUGAUCACUCUGGCUGUAAGGGAUAUAUUCUGAUUUCUGUGCACCACAGUUUCCCUGUUUUUAAUUCCCCACAUGGUGAGCUGGAUCUCUUCCUGACCAUCACACUUUCAUGACAGCAUAAGAGCUACGAUGAGGACAUAAGAACCAAAUGAAAAAAACUUAUUUCUAGUUUGAACUCUGUUCUGCUUUUACAGAAAGUGCACCCGCACCAACUGAUGCCUGAUUCGUAUGUUCAACAAUAUGGUUUCCUGACAACAAGAAAGCAGCAUAUCAGAUGUUUACAUGCAUUGAAGAGUUUGUAGAUAUCAGUGCUGGUUUCUGCAAGAUAUGAAGGGACUCACCGCUAGGGAACCUAGUAUGGUGUAGUCAACAAAGCUCAAAAUGUCUGCUAUUGGUAAUGUGGCCAUCGGAGAGAUGAAAGGUAUCUUGCUUUGUUUUCUCUGAACUUGACAAAAUCAACAUCACGUGGGCAAAAUAAAACAGAAAAGAAACUUGUUCUGAAUAACAGAAUGCCAAAGAAAAGGAAAAAUCUGGGUGUGAGUCCCUCCAGGAAAAUCGUGGAUUCGGAGAGAAUGGCUGCUUCUGGUGAAGGACUGGUACCACCUCCAGGAGAUGUGUCAGUGUCACGAGCAAUUUACAGUGUCAAUAAGGAAGAGCUCUUAAACAACAUGUCAGAAAUGUUUUCUGACCUGGAUCCUAGUGUGGUUUAUAUGGUGCUGUCUGAAUGUGAUUUUAAAGUUGAAAAUGCUAUGGAUUGUCUGCUAGAACUUUCCACAGCUGCUAAGGGAGUAGCAUCUUCAAAAGUCUCAGGUUUUGAUUCAAUAGCAUCAUCUCUAUCUCUUGUUAACCAGCAAAGCUCUGUUGCAAAUGAAAUAGUGGGCGAAAGCUGUGCAAAAGAAGAUAUUGUGAACUUUAAAGAAGAAUCAGAAAAGAUCCCAUCACCUGAUAUUCAGCUGACUGAAGAGCUAGAUUCCUUGAUACAAACUGCUUUUGAGAAAUACAAUCUGAGAGACAAAUUGUAUGAUUCCACAAAUGACAAUAUCACAGGAAAGCAGCCUAUGACAUUGGACCAGAGUAAUUCUAAUGGCAUUAAUGAAUUUCCUGAGAGUGAAAAAUCCAGUUUAGGGUUUAAUGUCCUGCUUUCUCUGCAGCAAGCAGAGACAGAGAAUGAGAAUUUAGAAAACUUCGCCUCUAUGUUAAUCCCAGAGGGUCACAAAUCUUCUCAGCCAGCUGUAAGUAAAUCUAGCAUUCAAACAAAGGAUAGUUCAUCAGCUGACAUGGACAUUUUUGCACAAGUAUCAGUAAGCUCUAGUCUGCCAGAAAUUGAUACUGACAAUGCUUCAGAAGUCAUUAAACCAACAAACUCGGAAGUGGCUUGUAGAAAUCUUGAUCAAUCACAGAAUAUUGUUUCAGACCAUGGAACUUUGAAUUUCUUCCAGGGACCUGUAGAAGCUGGUACAACAGCUAGUGGAAAUUCUAGCUCAAAAUGCCUUGAACAACAGGAAGGUGUAACGGCUGUGUGUAGUGGCCAAAAAAGCAUUUCUCUCCCUGAAGCGUUUGAAUCUCUUGAAGGAUCCAGUUUCAAAUCGCCACAACUUGCAGAUGUUCAGCAGGGAUGGAAUUUACAUUUUUCUCCACCACCACAGCAAUCUCCACAGCCUCCUUGGAAUCCAAUGGCUCCUGUGUUUUAUCCAUCAAGUGGAAGUCACAGCUUUGUAAUUCCAGUAGCUAUCAGUCCGGGACAAUGGAGGCCUGUUUCAGACUACAGGACGCAUGGCAAAGGAAUGCCUUUUCCUCCUCCAGUGGUUUCACAUGUCUGGGAUAGCAACGCUUCUCCGAAGGUAUGGGGAAAUCAAGAUGGAAUCCAAAAAAUGAACCUCUCUCAAGUACACCAACCACCUGUUUGUCCGGUGAUGAGAAAAAAGACACAUCUUGUAGGUCAAGUACUUGUUCUUCUCAGAGGGGUUCCAGGAUCAGGAAAAUCUUUUUUGGCAAGGACUUUGCUUGAGGAUAACCCAAGUGGAAUCAUUCUUAGUACUGAUGAUUACUUUUACAAAAACGGACAAUAUCAGUAUGAUGCAAAUUGCUUAGGAGAAGCACAUGAGUGGAACAGGAAACAAGCCAAAGAAGCAUUUGAAAAGAGAAUCUCUCCUAUAAUAAUAGACAACACAAACAUACAGGCAUGGGAGAUGAAGCCUUACGUUGCUUUGUCUCAGCAGUACAAAUACAAAGUAAUGUUCCGAGAGCCUGAUACUUGGUGGAAGUUUAAACCAAAAGAGCUUGAAAGGCGAAACAUUCAUGGUGUAUCUAAAGAAAAGAUCAAAAGAAUGUUGGAGCGAUAUGAACGUUGCCUUACUGUUAACUCAAUCUUGAAUUCUGCUGUCCCAGACAAAUCAGAAAAUGCUGAUUGGAAUGAAGAUCCUUGUCAGGGGGAAGGUUAUGGGCAAAAAGAGGUACAUGCAUAUGUGAAAGAAGAGACACUUUUUGCUUCAGCUUCAAAGCCUCCUGAAUUAGCUGAAGAGGAGAAACAUGCAUCUUCUACAUCUUCAGCAGUAGAAAAUAACUUAGCAGAUAGAUAUUUUCGAAAAGAAGAGGAGGAAAUUGAAAAUAAUUUAAGAGAACAUGUUUCUGAGAAUAGCAUUAUUCAAGGUAGUGUGGAUAUCAGUUUAUCAGAUUAUGAAGAAAAAGAAGUGCCUUUGGGGAAAAAAGCUGUAAAGAGAGAAGAAAUACAUAGAAUUACUGAAACAGAAACUAGUAAAACUAAUGAGGUGAAAUCUGAAGAAACCACACACUUGCAUAUCUGUUCUUGUGAACAUAUUCAAGAACAUAGUGACAAGAUUCUGGAAGUUCAAACUGAAAAGGAUCAGUACAAUGAAAUUGCAGUAGAACCAGUAGUAACACAUGAAAGGAACAUUAUGAAACAAAAUGGUUCAUCUUUGGAUGUAUCAGUGAGGCCAGAAUUAUUAAACUUUCUGGGUGACUGGCCUGUAGAACAAUCAAUCAGGCAGAGAACCAAAAGGACUAGAAGAAUAGAAAAAUUUUCUAUGAAGAGUGAUAAAGAGGAUAAAGCAACCAGCCAGCAUCUUCUUGAUUCACACAAGGCACAAGUGGACCUGGCAGAUAUUCAGCAGGAAGUACUACAUGGUGAAAAAAGACAGAGGGAGGAAAAUUUAGUCUCUGACUCUUUCUGUGUUCUUGGUGCAGAUAAAAUUACCCCAGAAUUGCAAAUGAUGGGAGACUGGCCUGCUAUGAGCUCUUUGCAGCAGAGGCAACAUAGAUCAAGGAGAAUAUCAAAGAGAAGUCUAAGUGAAUCUGAUGAAGCUGGAAAUAAUAAAUGUGAUAUACACAAAAAUGUUCUUGACACAGUGGAUGUGCUUCAUGGAACAUCUGUGAGCAGUGAAGAGCUACAGGACACAGAGACAUCAAAUUUUCAAGAACCUGAAAGAAUAGCUAGUGACAAUAUCAGUGAGAAAAAGCCCCAACAAAAUAAAAGAACACGGAAGCAUCAUAAAUUAGCCCUCACGUUUACCAACAGCAGUGUGGCCCUCUCCAAACCAGAACAGUUGUCAACGCUUAAUUUGCUGGAAGAGAAAUCUGAAAAACACAUCUGUAAACAACCAAGCAGGUAUUCACAGACUGAGCCACAGGAUUUCGCGCUCUUAUGGAGAUUAGAAAAGAAAAUUAUUAUUUCUGAGAAUAUUAUUUCCGAGAAUACCAAAGUAUUACAUGGCAGAUUAGAAGCAUUCAGACCAAAAGACAUGGAUGCUGCUUCAAGUUCUCAAGAAAAAAUACCCUAUAGAGUUAUGUAUGAUAAAAGCACAUAUGUGGAAGAAAGUGAACUUAUCAGUAUUGAUGAAUCUGAAAAUCUGAAUGUUCUUUGUAAGUUGUUUGGGUCCUUUUCAUUUGAUGCACUGAAAGACUUCUAUGAAAGAUGUAACAAGGACAUUGUCUGGGCCACAAGCCUGCUAUUGGAUUCUGAUGAAAAGUGUAAAGGCGAAGACAUUGAAUGCUUGCAGGAGGCAGGAACUGUGCCAGCUACCACAGACCUUGAAUUCAAGGAAAAUACAAACUAUGGAGAGAAUCUUAAAAAUUCUGAACAAACCAGCCAAAUAAUUGGGACUGAUGGUAUCACUCAACUUUCAGAAAACAAUUUAUCAGUGUGUUAUGCAGAGAGUGAAACUGCAGACAUACUUGAGACAGAUGCUAAAAUAUCUGACUCACUAACAAGACUUCCACUGAGUGCUUCAGUAAAACUCAAAAAUACCAAGGACAUUGUUCCCAGAACUCAGGCAGAAGAUUCAGGAACAGAUAUCAUCGAGCAGUCUGUUUCAGAUACACAGAAAAUAAACUUAAAGGCGAUGAGCCUUGUUAAUGAAACAGAAGAAAAAUCAGUGGUGUCACAGCUUGAUGUGGGCUUAUGUCUACCUGUGACUUUACCUAAGGUGUUCAGCACUGCUCCAACCAUUUUGAAACCCAAAUUAAAUAAGGAGGUAGACAAUAAACUUUCAGAAACAUAUCUAGAGAGUUCCAAAGUAAAUAAUAUGAUUCUUCCGUUACUGCAAAUGGAUCAAGCACCUUUGAAGAACUGUGCAAGUGAUGAAGAAGAACUGGAAACCUGUAAAGAAACUCAGGGGAAUGAUAUGAUAUCAAUUGGAGGUGAUAGGGAAGAAAGCAAACCUUCUAAUAUGGAUGAAGAUAGAACCAAGAUAUUGAACCCUACUUCGUUAUCCUCGGGAUCCAUGAAUAUAAAUUGCCUAGAAUUGGCAUUACCUCCUGAACUAGCCCUUCAACUGAAAGAAAUAUUUGGGCCAGUUGGCAUUGACUCAGGAUCACUAACUAUUGAGGAUUAUGUGGUUCAUAUAGAUCUGAAUCUGGCCAAAGUGAUUCAUGAGAAAUGGAAAGAAUCUAUUAUGAAGAGACAAAGGAAGGAAGAUGAAUAUUAUAAGCUGCUUAUGCAAGAUCUGGAUGACUCCAAUACAAUCUUAUCUCAGAGCACAGACAGUAAACUGCAGAGAAAAAAAAUGGUCUGUCCCUCUCAGUUAUCAACAGAGACACACAGUGAAAAUCUAGCAACAUCAGAAAUUUUCCCUUUUAUGGAUCACUGGAAUGCACAGACUCAAAGAGUAUCACUCAGAGAAAUAAUGUCUGAAGAAAUAGCCUUACAGGAGAAACAGGACCUGAAACGUGUUCCUUCCAUGGCUAGAAAAGACUGUGCUGCCAGGUUGAAGGAGAAGCAACUCUUUGAGAUGUUCCCAACGAUAAACCAAAACUUCUUAAUGGACAUCUUCAAGGACAACAACUACUCCUUAGAACAGACCGAGCAAUUUCUGAACUGUGUCCUGGAGGCAGACCCUGUAAAAACGGUUGUAGCUCAAGAGAUUGCUCAGCAAAGUGACACUCUCCCUUCCUGUAGUGCUAUAAAGAACCGAGAGAAAAAGGCAAAAAAAUCCAAGGAGGCUGAAGAUGUUUUGAAUGAGAUGGUGUUCCAAGACAUUGAGUACCCAGGGUAUGAUGACUUUAGAGCAGAGGCUUUCCUUCACCAGCAAAAGAAACAAGAAUGCUUAAAAAAAGCAGAGGAGGCCUAUCGCAUGGGUAUGAAGCCUGUGGCAACAUUUUAUGCACAACAGGGUCGCCUUCAUGAGCAGAAGAUGAAAGAAGCAAACCAUGAUGCUGCUGUGCAAAUCUUUGAGAAAGUAAAUGCAUCUCUGCUGCCUGAGAAUGUUUUGGAUCUGCAUGGGCUUCAUGUCGAUGAAGCCAUUAAUCACUUGUCCAGAGUACUACAGGAGAAAAGCCACGAGUACAAGCAGACUGGUGGUAAACCAUAUCUGUGUGUGAUCACGGGAAGAGGAAACCAUAGCCAGGGAGGAGUUGCUCGCAUCAAACCAGCAGCCAUUAAAUACCUCACAAGCCACAACUUCAGGAUCUUGAGGUUUUCGAUCUCCUUUGAUCCAAGGUUUAGGUUUCUGAAGAGUAAACCAUUCUAACCUGGAUGGAGCAGGACUGGUAGUUUCUUCUCUAUUAAUGGCACAGCCAUUAUUAUCUUGGCUGCUUUGAAGGUUCACAGAAAUAAAACCAGGCUGCCUGAAAGUCAUGCUGAAGUAAAAGGGUGUGAAGAAGGGGAGUGUGAAACUAAAAACUUUAAACAGUGUCAGUAAUUAUAACUUAAUGUACUUUAAAAACAGUAUUUUAAUAGAAAAUUUUUUCAACUUAUUUUAUAUCAAUUAGUUUUGUCAGCAUGUGUUUCCAAUAAAAUGGUAAGAUUGAAGUGUAUUUUUUCAUAACUCCAAAGGGAAGAUCCUCUUACAGAGAUUUUAAUAUGAGAAGUACAGACCUGCAAUACUGCUGAACAAAAUGAGAAGUGUAGACCUACAAUACUGCUGAACAAUAGAUGCUACCAAUAACAAUAGUGUUAAAGAGAAAUUAAGGUCCCGUUUUCAAACACUGCUUCCUUCUCAGUGCAGACAGAGCCUAAGAUUAUCUCUGGCCCAAUACAUUUUAAUUGUUGUGGAUUUUGUAACUUUAAAAUAUACACAGUAAAAGUUAACUUGUUUAAAGAUAGUUAGUUAUUGUGUGUGUUAGAAUUUUGAGUUGAGAUUUUCAAAGGAGCCUAAAGGAGCGAGGUAUCCAACCCCCAUGGAAAUUUGAAACCCAAGGCAGGUGAAUGCUUAACACUCAAAGACUCUUUUUGAAAAUCUGAGCCAUGAUCUUUAAGCGGUGGUUUCUUGAAAAUAUGGGCCAUUUCUGCUGUCCUUAUUCAUACAGAACUCUUCUUGAAGUCAAUAGGAGUUGUGUGUUAUAAGGACUCUGGAUUGGGACCUAAAGUCUGUUAGAAAAUUUUAUUAAUGCACCUUAAUUCUUUAAGGAGAAAAACAUAACCCCAUAGUCUCAUCUCUACCUACAUUUUAUCUGUGUAUAAUAAAAUAAAUAAGUAGAUAAAUUGGCACGUCUCCAGUAGUAAAUAUUAUGUUUAACUGUAUGGCAUUUCAAGCACUUUUUCUAGCAGCAAAACAGUUUAUAGUAGUAUAGUGGUAAUUGCUCAACUGGAAAGAUCAGAUUAGAGGAAGAAUUUCUUUGACAUUAGCAGUUCUUCAGGAUCCAGAAAAUGUGCUUAUAAUGCCUCUGACCCCCCCCCCCCAUACUUAAGAUAUUUUUCAGCAAACAAUCAGAGCGUUUAUUUUAAGAACAAAAUGGAACAUCUUAAAAUAUGCUUUUAUUAUAGUAUGUAACAGCCUUGAAAAUUGAGAGACAUAAAUUUCCUUUAAUAUAAUAGUUUUUAAAGCUUUGCUAUGAAACUUUGUUUUCAUAACAAUUGAGUUGUGUACUGGAAAUAAUGUUAAUAGGUGAAUGUGAGGUAUUUUUCAUAUUCUUAAGUUAGUAUGUCAGUACAUUUUGGGGGGGGAAAUUUUCAAAACAGUACCCUUUGUUUGUGCUUACACAGAGUUGUAUGCACACAAAUAACAGAAUUUACAUGCACCAUCCCUUUGUACGUGCCAUUGAGGCUUCGGGGGUCAGGCAGGCUUGUACUCAGCUAGCCUGGGAUGCCUCCAGUGUUGCAGUGUCCAGGCCAUUAAGUUUAGCAUGCUAACUUGAACUGAGCUAGCAUGAGUCUGUCUACCCAUGCUAGGAAUCACGCCUCCCAGCUGCAGUGUAGAUAUGCCCUCUAAUAACUGUGUUUUGGUUUGUGGGUACUUAUGGACACGGUUUGUCUCUCCACUUUAGGUCUCUGCCCUGUCCCUGUAGGCAAAAUGUUCAAAUAUAAAAGAACCCUACUCUUUAAGUCCUUAAGAGCAGAGUUCUUUUUAUGCUUCUGCACUGUGCACUAGGGGCCUGAAUAUGGUAACGGACAGUUGUGUAAUAACAUAAGAUAAAUAGAUUCUUCUCUAUGGAAAUCAAUGGCCAAACUUCCAUUGAUUUCAGUGGUGUAUGAUCAAACCCUAAGGUACCAAUUAAGCAAUGCAUUUUAAACAUGUGCUUAAGUCUCAUUAAAGCAAUGGGAUUUAAGUAUUCUGCUUUGCUGAAUUGGGACCUAAAAAGGAGGAGAAAACCAGAGUGGAAGAGGAGUGGUGGAUAUACAAAAAACCUCCUCUCUAUCUUGGAUUAUUUGCCUAGUUUUCCAGAAGAAACAUUGAAACUUUUUUUUCCAUUUUAUAGCCUUUGUUUUGGGAGCCCAAUAAUUUAUUUUAUAAUGGGAAGAACUGUUUUAAAUAACUGUAUUUUAAAAUAUUUUGAAGUAGGUAACAUUUUUUGGGACUUCCAGCCUUUACGGUGUCCUUUUAAGAAGAAACUAGUGACAUAAUUUUUACUAUGAACAUUUCAAACCUUAAAGUAUUACCACCAGCACUCUGAAAGAACAUAGACUGUUAAAAUAGGUAUGCACCAGUUUCUUCUUUUCCUUUUAUUUAACAGGACACUGUAGAGGUUAGUAGGCCAAAAAUAUGACUCCUUUCUUUUAAAAAUACUUGUUCUUAAAGUUCACUCAAUUUAUUAAAUUAAAAAAAUGCUUCAAAACUUUUUCCUAAAGAAAAGUUAAUGUCAGCAGCUUAGCAUUCAUGAUCAAUUCUCAAUAACAGACCCAGACAUGCCCAUGCAACGAAAGAAAACAUGAUUCUGUAAAGAAACAGAUUUGUUUAAAAAAAAAAAUUAAAGAUAAUCUUUCAGAUUUCCAGGGAUUAUAAAAAUAGUGAGGCAAAACUGAUUUUUAAAAUACUUUUAAAAAUA